UUAGUCCUAUAUGUCCACCAAUCCCAGGCAAAAAGGAGGAGGAUCCCACAAAUAAUCCGAGACUUCGAUCUAUAAUCAGAAACUGGACAAUGGAGGCAAAAUACGUUAAACAAAACCCUGAUGGGCGGAGGCGAACUAAAUCCCAUUACACCCUUUGAUGCGGUGUUGGGUUUGCCGGGUACAUUCCCUUUUGCCCUAUUGCUGCAACGAAUGAUCGGAAUUCUCAUACUCUGCCGGUCCACUCACCAAAAAAAAAAUCGAAAAUCAUUUCGUAGGGAUGAUGGAGGGGAAGGUGCUCCUCUCCCUGUUUUUGUCUGUUUUUUUCCUCCCCUCUUCCUCGUAGGACGAAGGGAGCUGAAUAGAUUAUAUACCUUGUCCUCGCUCCCUCCCCCAUCCGCCACUCAGCCUUUGCCUUUUCGACCUCCAUUCCUGCGGGGAAAGUACCGCCCCUGGAGUUGGGUUCUGGUUUCGCUUUGGGCUGGAAGUGGAAGGUGGGGGGUCCUGGUGAGAAAGUAGGGUUUUUGAGGUUCUGCCCCACGGUUCAGGGUCUGAACACUCGGUUCUCGUUUUCUGACUCAAGUUCGCCCACCCACCUGCUCGGCUCCACUCCCGAGGCCCGGUGCUGAAGCCAGCCUGACCGCACUGGACUACACCAAGGCCUAACUGCUGGCCUUUCCAGGAAAGAGGGAGAAAGCAGAGACCCGGAUCCACAGCCUCCACUUGGGCGCCGCCCCCCUCGGCGAGGGAGGAGGGGAGAUCCUAUUCCGGAGGGCUGGUCUUUCUAAAUAUGCCCCAGUGUAAAAUGAGAGACUUGCAAAUACCCCCAAUCGGUGACUCCCGAGCCGCUUGGUUUUUCUGCUCCGGUUCUUGCUGAGACUCAGCUCUGCAGUCAUGGGAGCUGAGUAAGGAAGGAAGCCAAGCGGUCGCUGGUGGGCAGUGGACCUGCAGCCAUUCUGGAGUGCGGUUGAUGGCGGGAGAGUGAGUGACCCCGGUUCCCAGAGAAAGAGAUGUAGAAUGAGCUUAGAGCUGUUUUAUCUCUAGCCCCUGUGGGCUCCGUGUGGCCUUAAGUGAGGUCCUCUCUCUGACCAAGUCUUGCCAUGAAUAAUUAUUUGAGCAAUUUGCACAGCGCCUUUAAAUGCAUAAAUGAAACGUUCUCCCCAUUUCUCAGAGGGGAACACCGAGGUAGGAGCACGGGAAGAGGGCGGGCUGGAAGGGUCCAAGGCUCUUUAGGACACGCCGCCUGCUUGGGAAACGCAGCACAGACCCCACAGAGCCCAGGAGCUGGGCACCCAUGCACCUGCAGGCUCCUCACUGCUGCAGCCACGCUGCCCUUCCCUACCCGCGCGGCUUCGGAGUCCAGCAGAGUGGACCCUGGGGGGAAGUGGGGUCCAGAUCCUCUCGUUACCAUGCCACGAGUUUCGUCUGGGUGGGAAUGACGCACCCAGGACACGUGAUUGGCCUCGUAGAGACACACUCCUAGCCCACGA